rnacentral:tRNA from 1 species
GGCCCCAUCGUCUAGUGGCCUAGGACACCAGGUUUUCAUCCUGGCAACACGGGUUCGAUUCCCGUUGGGGUCACCA